GUGGGGCCCAGGGAGAGUCUGGCCAGAAGCCUGAGGGCAAAGAAGAGGGUCUAGGGAGGAGGGACAGAAGGUUUAAGAGGCAGGAUCUCUUUGGGGAGGGACAGACGCGGGCAGGUGGAGACCGGGGACGGUCUGGGUCAGGCGAGGAGCGACAGAGUUGUUGCAGGGGUGUGGUCAGCGUGUGCAUCCGGGACCUCUGCCCCUCCGGCCCCCACCGCCCUCGGCCUGAAAGGCAAGGUGCUCGAAGCAGGCCCUGGCAAAACAGCCUUGACUGUUGGCAGGAAGGGCUUUCUAAAACAGCUUCCAUGGCAACCGAAGAGACCUGAGAGAGAGAGUCCAAGGGCUCCUGGUUGCUUAGCAAACGCCGGCCUCUCCGGAAGUGGCGGCCGUCCCUCUGAACGCGCCUGGAGAGCGGGGGGGGGGGGGCAGUUUGGGAGAGCUUUGCAAGGUCCUCUUGGGUUUGGUAAGCCUGAGGUCAGGGCAGAGGCGAAGGCUCUAGGCCCGCAGCCCGCCUCCCUUCUCUUUCCACAACCUGGCCCUGUCUUGCGUGGGAGGGGAUCUCGUGGAACAUUCCAGUUGGCCGGUCCAAGCGGUGCCCACCCCGACCCCGGACACCCUGGGACUAGAACACAACCUCUUUAACUUCCACGCCAGAGAGGCUGCAGGGGUGCAGAGAGAAGCUGGACAGACAGACUGUUUCAUUCAUUAGCUUGCGCUCCAGCCCACUGGCCCUUGACACUGGCCUCCUUUGAGGGCAAGGACGCUUCAAUGAAUAAAACACCAUUGUGUGGAGGAACUCACACACUUGUAAUGGAGACAGAUACCCAAACAGAAAACUGCAGUUCACCAAGAUGGUUGAAAUCUGUAAGGAUACACAAAAUGCAGUGGGGCCCAGCAGAAGACCCAGAAGAAAAGAAGAUCAUGGUAGGCUUCAAGGAGGAGAUGACCUUGAGGAAUGGGGAAGACACAAUGGCCCAUGGAGCUGUGGAAUUCUUUGGCAUGACUGAGUCAUUAGGGCCGGGUCCUGAUGCCUCCGUGUCCCAGGAGGCCCUGGCAUGCUGGUUACAGCCAUGUUGUAACCAUGAGGAGACAAGCCUGAGAAUAAACCUCUAUCUGUGACGAUGGCAGGAGAGAAAGAUAGAAGCAAUCUGGAUCUGCAGUGAUGUCAUUAAACUGCUGAAUUAACCAGCCUUGGGACUGCCCUCCCUCUGGACUACUGAUUAUGUGACAUACAUAUUAGUUUAACGUUUUCUUUAUUUUUGUACUUUUUUUUUUUGAGCCACCUUUAGUUGAAUCUUUUCCUUGCAGCUGACAGCAAUAAAAAUCAUU